UACGUAGGGGGCAAGCGUUGUCCGGAUUUAUUGGGCGUAAAACGCUCGUAGGUGGCUACGUCAAGUCGGACGUGAAAUCUCCCGGCUUAACUGGGAGAGGUCGCUCGAUACUGGCGAGCUCGAGGCAGGUAGGGGGAAGCGGAAUUCCCGGUGUAGUGGUGGAAUGCGCAGAUAUCAGGAGGAACACCGAUGGCGAAGGCAGGUCUCUGGGCCGAUACUGACGCUGAGGAGCGAAAGCGUGGGGAGCGAACAGG
rnacentral:rRNA from 1 species